GCCAGCUGCCAUGUUCUGAGUACCCUCUGGAAGGGCCUGCGUGGCAAGGAACUGAUGUUUCCAGCCAGCAGCCAGCAAGAACUGCAAGCCUUGUGAAUGAGCUUGGAAGCAGAUCCUCCCCUCACUCAAGCAGUGAUAUGACAACAGCCUGAGACCCAGAGGAUGAAGGAGCCGAGGAAGACAGACAGAAUGUGGGAGAGGCUGGAGCUGGCUGAGAAGCAAAGACAAGGGGGACACAGAGGGACAAGCCACCCUGUCCCUGAGAAUUCCCCAGUUCUCUGGCCAAUUUGGGUGAAACCCAGCAACUCUUUGUGUUCCAUGCUUCGAUACUGUGAGGUCUCUCUAUACACUCAGUAAAUGCUCCUUUUUACCUCACUGGACUAAUGCUUUUUAGAGUCACAUUCAUGCUGACUUCAACAAAGCAAAUUGUUUAUCUGAAUCAACUCUGCAGUGUACCAUGUCCAGUCACUUGAAUUUCUAUUUCAUCUUUGACUCUCCGUUUGCUAAUUAUGACUUUGGGCAAAUCUUUUGUUCACUCUGUGUAUUUGUCCAUUUUCACAUUGCUAUAAAGAUACCGUUGAGACUGGGUAAUUUAUAAACAAAA
rnacentral:antisense_RNA from 1 species